rnacentral:rRNA from 1 species
UACGUAGGGCGCAAGCGUUAUCCGGAAUUAUUGGGCGUAAAGAGCUCGUAGGCGGUUUGUCGCGUCUGCUGUGAAAGACCGGGGCUCAACUCCGGUUCUGCAGUGGGUACGGGCAGACUAGAGUGCAGUAGGGGAGACUGGAAUUCCUGGUGUAGCGGUGAAAUGCGCAGAUAUCAGGAGGAACAGCCGGUGGCGAAGGCGGGUCUCUGGGCCGUAACUGACGCUGAGGAGCGAAAGCGUGGGGAGCGAACAGG